ensembl:snRNA U5 U5 spliceosomal RNA
AUGCUCUGGUUUCUCUUCAUAGCGAAUAAAUCUUUCGCCUUUUACCAAAAAUUUCCGUGGAGAGGAACAAUUAUAAGUUUAAAACGGAAUUUUUUGUUGCCCUGCUUAGGCAGGGCU